UCGGCCCUUACCUCUUGAAGAUCGAGAGGAAAACGACCCUAGCUCGGAGAUGGGAGAGAUUGAGUUUCUUGAACCUCAAAGCUCCAAAACUUGCUUUAUACUCGAAAAUCUUCAAAACAAAGUGAAAACUUGUGAAAAUCGUGAAAGAUUUGAAGGAAGAAACUCAAGAUCGGUGAGGGACGGCGGAGAGCUCACCUUGGC
rnacentral:lncRNA from 1 species